rnacentral:rRNA from 1 species
AUGUGUGUCCCUGAGCUCAGUAUUCUUAGGAGUGCUGUGUUAGGAGACAAAUCAUAUAAUUUGGGAGCCAUUGCUGCACGUAGGUUGCAUCUUAAUAGACUUAAUGGAGAUUUCUUUGGUGGAGUUUAUGCAACUCGCGUAGCUAAUUUUCUUGGUAUAGAUGUACGCGAAGAUGAUAUUGAAUUACCUCCUGCCUAUCUAGAUUUUAAUGCUAUGGUUCACCAUCAUUUUGUCGAGAGGAACGAAUCACCUCUCCAGUACCGACUAAUCUUUGACAGACGCCGUGCUGUCCGUAUUACUCUCCCUGCUCCUGCUUUCUUUGGUUAUCAGGCAAGAGGAGGAUAUACUAUUACCAGAGAGGAGGCAGAUGAGUACGAGAGGAGGGCGGAGGCUUCUCGUCGCCACACUGUAGCUCAGGAGGCGAUAGCCGCUGCAUCACAGUACGACCCCAACAACUAUUAUUAUGGAUAUCAGCCAGGCCAGCCGUGGCCAUAA